rnacentral:tRNA from 1 species
GCCUGAGUAGCUCAGUCGGUUAAGCGUCUGACUUCGGCUCAGAUCAUGAUCUCGCGGUUUGUGAGUUCAAGCCCCGCGUCGGGCU